CAAAUGGAGAAUGGAAACAGCUAGAAUAUGAACAGAAGCAGGAACUCGAAGUAGCCCAAACAGAGUCAAAUGAGAAAAAUAACGGAACAUACAAUGAAAUUAGACACGGACAGAAGAGUGCAAUUAAAAACAAAACAUUGAAUUGAAUGCAGAGAGAGUAGUAGAUCUCCUACCUUCCUCUCCUCUCCUCUGGCCUACGCGACCCCUUGUUUCUAUGCUUUUUCGUUUUUCUUUCCAAUCUUGCGAAGCAAAUCUCACACCACCACAAAUGUUCGAUGGAGACUUUUAGAGCGAGAAAAGCGAUUCUUUCUUUUUAGAGAGAGAAACUCUAGAUUUUUAAUUCCUAGUCUUUUGUGCACAGCGUAAAGCAUUUACUCAUACCUUCGUUUCCCCCUCUCUUAAGACUGAUCCCUAAUUAUUAAUUUCCUCAUCUCUCUCUCCUUCUACACAUUCUUCUAUUUCACUGAGAAUUCUGUCUUAUUUUCCUUGGGAAAAUGGGACUGAUUUCUGGGAUCUUUCUGGGGAUAAUCUUUGGGAUCGCGGUGAUGGCGGGUUGGAAGCACAUGAUGAGGUAUAGAAGCACCAAGCGAGUUGCCAAGGCAGUUGAUAUAAAACUUCUUGGGUCCCUAAACAGGGAUGAUUUGAAGAAAAUAUGUGGUGAUAAUUUUCCUGAAUGGAUAUCAUUUCCUGCCUUUGAGCAGGUGAAAUGGCUGAACAAGCAAUUGAGCAAAUUAUGGCCAUUCAUUGCAGACGCAGCUACAAUGGUGGUUAAGGAAUCUGUUGAACCAUUAUUGGAAGACUAUCGACCACCAGGGAUUACAUCAUUAAAGUUCAACAAAUUUUCUCUUGGAACUGUGCCACCCAAGAUUGAAGGUAUCCGAGUUCAGAGUCUCAAGAAGGGUCAAAUCACUAUGGAUAUUGAUUUCCGAUGGGGCGGUGAUCCAAGCAUCAUUUUAGGUGUUGAAGCUGCACUUGUUGCUUCUAUACCCAUUCAGUUGAAAGACCUUGAAGUUUAUACUGUUAUUCGGGUUAUCUUCCAACUUGCUGAGGAGAUACCAUGUAUUUCUGCUGUUGUUGUUGCUCUACUUUCUGAGGUACAUCUUGAAAAGUUUCAUGGUGCUUUUAUAUCCUAUAUGUAUCUCUCUGGUCUGUCAUCAUCUCAUUGUGACUUAAGCUGAUCAAUAAGGGAUCCCUCCCAUCUUAUGGUACUCUCCAAUGCCAGCCCAUUGGGAUUUGAACCUUAGACAUCUUAUUUGGAUAUCCAAGUUCAAAUUGUUAGGGUGUCCCUUUGAAAUGUUAUCUAUUGAUGAAUAAUGUGUUUAUGCAAUAUGUUUGUAGUGAUAUUGCUAGCCAUUGGAGUAAAAGUUUAGUACACCAUGAAUUGGAUGAGACAUUAGUUAAAUGAUUGUAGAUACUGUUACCAGUUACAAAUGUUUUGGAAAUGACCAAUUCUUAAUACAUCAAUCAGCCGAAGCCUAAAAUUGAUUAUGUUCUGAAAGCUGUUGGUGGAAGCUUAACAGCCAUUCCCGGACUAUCAGAUAUGAUUGAUGUGAGUUCUCUUUUUGGAAUCUGAGCAGUACCUUUUCACUUAAUGUUUCCUUAUUGAUUUGGUUUUCUUAUCAUUGUGCUGUUUACCACAAAUUUGGUAGGAUACCGUGCAUUCAAUUGUCACAGAUAUGCUUCAAUGGCCUCACAGGAUUGUUGUUCCAAUUGGUGGUGUACCUGUUGAUACAAGUGAAUUGGAGCUUAAACCACAAGGAAAGCUUACAGUGACUGUAGUGAAAGCAAAUGAGUUGAAGAACAUGGAAAUGAUUGGAAAAUCUGAUCCCUACGUAGUUUUAUAUAUUCGGCCGGUAUUCAAGGUUAAAUCAAAUGUUGUUGAGAACAACCUCAAUCCUGUUUGGGAUAAAACAUUCGAGUUGAUUGCUGAAGACAAGGAGACUCAGUCACUUAUUCUUGAGGUUUUUAAUUUGCUUAUACUCUUUCAUCCUUUUCUGCUCCUUCUAUGCUAUUUUGCCUAACUAUGAUGCUUGUGUACAUGCUAGUGGAUGCUUUUUUUUAUCUUUAUUUAGUGUACAUGAUGACAAAACUCCACCUCAAGGAUCCAUUUGUUUCAUGGAAAAGGAGAUAGAUUGUUUAUGAUUUUAUGUAAUUGAUGUUUUAGUAAAGAGUAUGGUAGAGUGAUUACCCAUAUGCAAACAAUGUGAUGAAACUCUUCCAACAGGUUUUUGAUAAGGAUAUUGGGCAAGACAAGAGAUUGGGAAUAACAAAAGUGCCUUUAAUUGAGCUGGAAGCAGAAACUUCGAAAGAAAUGGAGUUAAGACUGCUACCAUCUCUUGACAUGUUGAAAAUCAAGGAUAAGAAGGAUAGAGGAACUCUUACAAUUAAGGUUUUGUACCAUGAAUUUAACAAAGAGGAGCAAUUGAUUGCUUUGGAAGAAGAGAAGAGGAUCCUAGAAGCAAGAAAGAAGCUAAAAGAAGCAGGAGUUAUAGGGAGCACAAUGGAUGCACUUGAUGGAGCUGUGUCACUGGUGGGUUCAGGUGUUGGAAUGGUGGGUACUGGUAUUGGUGCUGGAGUUGGGCUCGUGGGAACUGGAGUUGGGCUCGUGGGAACUGGGGUUGGAGCUGGAGUUGGCAUCGUGGGCAGCGGCAUUGGAGCUGGAGUUGGCAUUGUGGGCAGCGGCAUUGGAGCUGUUGGCAGUGGCCUAAGUAAAGCUGGAAAGUUCAUGGGCAGGUCACUCACUGGGCAAUCCAGCAAGAGAAGUGGCUCCACAACUCCAGUCAAUAGCGUGCAAGAAAAUGAUGGGGCGAAGCCUCUGUAGUGCAACUGCAGGAUACUGUGUGAAUUAGGCCUUGGCUUGCAUUCCCAUGACUAAAGGGUGAGAGUACUUAUUUUGCACGCUCGUGUCAUCGUGUUUUCUCCAUUAUUGUUCUUUAUGUUAAUCAGCGCAGUUAUUGUUUAUUCUCCAUACUUGGUUCCAACUGUAUCUUCGUGGUCCAAUUUAUGUUCUACCAUACGCGAGUUCAUAGCAGACUUAUACAUGUGUACAAAUAACGUGAUUCUCCUUUCAUUGUGGGUACCUGUCUGAUAGAUGAUUAUUGAAUCUUUUGUAAUAUUUUUUCUCCCAUUUCCUAAAGAACUAACCUGGGAAGAACUAACUUGGGAAGGG
rnacentral:misc_RNA from 1 species